CCUACGGGCGGCUGCAGUGGGGAAUAUUGGACAAUGGGGGAAACCCUGAUCCAGCAAUGCCGCGUGUGUGAAGAAGGCCUGCGGUUUGUAAAGCACUUUCGGUUGGGAAGAAAAGUUUGGCGCCAAUACCGCCGAACCUUGACGUUACUGACAGAAGAAGCACCGGCUAACUCUGUGCCAGCAGCCGCGGUAAUACAGACGGUGCCAGCGUGAAUCGGGAUCACUGAGGUUGUCGCGUGCGUAGGGUGUGAAAUCCCCGGGCUUAACCUGGGAACUGCAUUCGAUACGACAUGGCUAGAGUAUGGUAGAGGGAAGUGGAAUUUCCGGUGUAGCGGUGAAAUGCGUAGAUAUCGGAAGGAACACCAAUGGCGAAGGCAGCUUCCUGGACUAAUACUGACACUGAGGCACGAAAGCGUGGGUAGCAAACAGGAUUAGAUACCCCAGUAGUC
rnacentral:rRNA from 1 species